CCAUGCCGCGUGCGGGAAGAAGGCUUCGGGUUGUAACCGCUUUUGUCAGGGAAGAAAUCCUUUGAGCUAAUACCUCGGGGGGAUGACGGUACCUGAAGAAUAAGCACCGGCUAACUACGUGCCAGCAGCCGCGGUAAUACGUAGGGUGCGAGCGUUAAUCGGAAUUACUGGGCGUAAAGCGUGCGCAGGCGGUCUUGCAAGACAGGUGUGAAAUCCCCGGGCUUAACCUGGGAACUGCACUUGUGACUGCAAGGCUGGAGUACGGCAGAGGGGGAUGGAAUUCCGCGUGUAGCAGUGAAAUGCGUAGAUAUGCGGAGGAACACCGAUGGCGAAGGCAAUCCCCUGGGCCUGUACUGACGCUCAUGCACGAAACGUGGGGAGCAAACAGGAUUAGAUACCCUGGUAUCCACGCCCUAAACGAUGUCACUGGUUGUUGGACG
rnacentral:rRNA from 1 species